rnacentral:rRNA from 1 species
UACGGAGGGUGCAAGCGUUACUCGGAAUCACUGGGCGUAAAGGACGCGUAGGCGGCCGGAUAAGUCAGAUGUGAAAGCCCACGGCUCAACCGUGGAACUGCAUUUGAAACUGUUUGGCUAGAGUCUGGGAGAGGCCGAUGGAAUUGGUGGUGUAGGGGUAAAAUCCGUAGAGAUCACCAGGAAUACCGAUGGCGAAGGCGAUCGGCUGGAACAGUACUGACGCUGAGGCGUGAAAGCGUGGGGAGCAAACAGGAUUAGAUACCCUGGUAGUCCACGCCCUAAACGAUGGAUGCUAGUCGUUGUGAUGCUUGUCAUUGCAGUGAUGCAGCUAACGCAAUAAGCAUCCCGCCUGGGGAGUACGGUCGCAAGAUUAAAACUCAAAGGAAUAGACGGGGACCCGCACAAGCGGUGGAGCAUGUGGUUUAAUUCGAAGAUACGCGAAGAACCUUACCUGGGCUUGACAUCCCGAGAAUCCUCCAGAGAUGGAGGAGUGCUACUUCGGUAGAACUCGGUGACAGGUGCUGCACGGCUGUCGUCAGCUCGUGUCGUGAGAUGUUGGGUUAAGUCCCGCAACGAGCGCAACCCUCGUCCUUAGUUGCCAGCACUUCGGGUGGGCACUCUAAGGAGACUGCCUUCGCAAGGAGGAGGAAGGUGAGGACGACGUCAAGUCAUCAUGGCCCUUACGGCCAGGGCAACACACGUGCUACAAUGGGGUGUACAAUGAGACGCGAUACCGCGAGGUGGAGCAAAUCUAUAAAGCAUCUCUCAGUUCGGAUUGUAGUCUGCAACUCGACUACAUGAAGCUGGAAUCACUAGUAAUCGUAGAUCAGCUAUGCUACGGUGAAUACGUUCCCGGGUC